rfam:Lupinus angustifolius cultivar Tanjil chromosome LG20, whole genome shotgun sequence.
AUAUGCCUGGCUCCCUGUAUGCCAUUUGUGGAGCUCAUUGGAACAUCAAUCAUCUCUGUGAAUGGCGUAUGAGGAGCCAAGCAUAU